rnacentral:misc_RNA from 1 species
UGGAAGUAGCGAAGAUUGACCGUGAACAGGCCGUGAUCCUUUUCCGCCAGUCAGUAACCAAUGCGGUACGUGAAGUAUCGGAUGCACUGGUACAGUUAGAUAAACUACACACACAACAAGACAUAGCCGCAUCCCGUCUGCAAACCACGCAACAGGCCGUAAACAACGCCCGUUUGCUGUUCCGCAGCGGUUUGGCCAACUACCUGGAAGUGAUCUCUGCACAGGGCAAUAGCCUGCAGGCAGAAUUAACACAGGUAGAUAUCCGCCGCCAGCGCCUCACGGCAAUGGUAGACCUCUACCGUUCAUUAGGGGGA